UACGUAGGGGGCUAGCGUUGUCCGGAAUCAUUGGGCGUAAAGCGCGUGUAGGCGGUCCGGUAAGUCCGCUGUGAAAGUCGGGGGCUCAACCCUCGGAUGCCGGUGGAUACUGCCAGUCUUGAAGGUGCUAGGGGGAGAUGGAAUUACCGGUGUAGCGGUGAAAUGCGUAGAUAUCGGUAGGAACACCAGUGGCGAAGGCGGUCUCCUGGGGCAUUCUUGACGCUGAGGCGCGAAAGCUGGGGGAGCGAACGGG
rnacentral:rRNA from 1 species